rnacentral:lncRNA from 12 species
GGAUUUUUCUGGAUCUUUUGAAAUUAAAAAAAGUUUGAUGUACCAUGUAGACACGCUCUGACAUUCAUAAAGCAAAGCUUUUUCCCAGUCCACGAGACUGUUUAUGGAGAUUUAUGCAGCAAAAAUGGAUAUUGGUGUCACACCCAUGAGCAGAUUUACAUACAACCACCUACUGUACGUUUCCAUAUCAGCUCCUAUUUGGUAUUCAGAAGAUUUGUGGGAGUGUUGCUACUGAUUUUACAUCUGAAAAUGUUAGCCAAUCAUAGUAAAGGUCAUUAUCAAGUUUGGGGUCUGUAAGAUCUUUUGAUUUUUUUUUUUAAAGAAGUGUUUAUGCUCAUCCUGGCUGCAUUCAUUUGAUCAAAAAAUACAUUAUAGAGAGUAAUAUUGUGAAAUAUUAUUACAAUUAAGAUGUAAUUUAUUCCUGUGAUGGCAAAGCUGAAUUUUCAGUACCAUUACUCCAGUCUUCAGUGUCACAUGAUCCUUCAGAACUAUUCUAAUAUGCUGAUACUACAACUUACAAAACUGACAUAUAUGUUUGUUUGGUAUAUUUCAGCAUUGUUUUGUGAGCCAGUCAGCAGAAACUGCUAUUAAAAGAUGCAACUGUGCCAACUAUAUUGGAUCCGCCAGCAAUCCCACGACCUACUGCAUCAGAACAAUGGUACAAAAAAAUAUAUAACCAAGCCGUCUCACAAUAGACGAGUGCUAGAAGCAAGAUUCAUCCACCCACUUGGAUUAUGUCGUGUUGAAACAGAAGGCUGGAGAGGGAAGCUUUGUUCCUCCGUAGGGGCUUUCCUGACUCAGGUAUUAAUGGAUCUCAAACCAUGGAUCCCAGAGAGAGCGGGAUUAUUUCUCUUCGUGGUGAUAGUGGAAAGAGUAGAAAAUACAAAAAGAGAAUCUGCUACAUUUAACAAAUCUAAGCUAAAAAUCUAG